CACAUCGGUUAGAUGUGGGAAUGAAAGGCACCUCCUCAUGUAUAAAAAGAGGAGGUGCAUUGUGGAGGAAGUAUGAGGAAUUUUUUAUUACAAUUUGUGAAAAUUGCAAUUAAGGGCCCAAGAUGCAAUUUGUGAAAAUUGCAAGUAAUGGCCCAAAGGUUUGAAUAAUUAAAUUCAAACCUAUAGUUUUUUUUAAUAUAAUUUUGGGACCACAAUCCCAUUUUUAUAUUAUUUUUCUCUCUUCCUCUCACGUUGCUCGGCGUUUUCUCGCAAGGGGGGAUUAUUUUCUUUUUCUUCAGAUUAUAUUGACAAAGAUAGUGGUGAAAAAGGAGUUAUGAAGGGGAACUUGUUAUUCAAGACACAAGGAGCGAGUCCGGCCGAGAAAGCACCAGAGGUGUAACUAUGGUGUAUGAGACACCAUCUUU